CUAGUACUCCCUGAAAAUACUUAUCAUUAAAAUGAAUAAAAGGGGAUGUAUCUAGAUGUAUUUUAGUUUUAGAUAUAUUUUUUUUUGUUUAUUUUGAUGACAAGUAUUUUCGGACGAAGGGAGUACUAC
rfam:Triticum aestivum genome assembly, contig: Triticum_aestivum_CS42_TGACv1_scaffold_577185_7BL